rnacentral:rRNA from 1 species
GGCUACAGCCAUAUUACCCUGCAGCCUAACAGCUAAGCAGGGCUGAGCCUGGUCAGUACCUGGAUGGGAGACCACUAGGGAAAACAAGGUUGCUGUUGGAA